AUACGUAGGGGGCGAGCGUUGUCCGGAAUGAUUGGGCGUAAAGGGCGCGUAGGCGGCCCGGUAAGUCUGGAGUGAAAGUCCUGUUUUUAAGAUGGGAAUUGCUUUGGACACUGUCGGGCUUGAGUGCAGGAGAGGUAAGUGGAAUUCCCAGUGUAGCGGGGAAAUGCGUAGAGAUUGGGAGGAACACCAGUGGCGAAGGCGACUUACUGGGCCGUAACUGACGCUGAGGCGCGAAAGCGUGGGGAGCGAACAGGAUUAGAUACCCUGGUAGUCCACGCGGUAAACGAUGAAUGCUAGGUGUUGCGGGUAUCGACCCCUGCAGUGCCGGAGUAAACACAAUAAGCAUUCCGCCUGGGGAGUACGGCCGCAAGGUUGAAACUCAAAUGAAUUGACGGGG
rnacentral:rRNA from 1 species